GAUGAACGCUAGCGGCAGGCUUAAUACAUGCAAGUCGAGGGGUAGCAAGAUUGUAGCAAUACAAUUGUUGACGACCGGCAAACGGGUGCGGAACACGUACACAACCUUCCUACAAGUGGGGAAUAGCCCAGAGAAAUUUGGAUUAAUACCCCGUAACAUAGCGAUGUGGCAUCACAUUGCUAUCUAAGCUUCGGCCCUGUUUGAUGGGUGUGCGGCUGAUUAGAUAGUUGGCGGGGUAACGGCCCACCAAGUCUACGAUCAGUAGCUGAUGUGAGAGCAUGAUCAGCCACACGGGCACUGAGACACGGGCCCGACUCCUACGGGAGGCAGCAGUAAGGAAUAUUGGACAAUGGACGCAAGUCUGAUCCAGCCAUGCCGCGUGAAGGAUUAAGGUCCUCUGGAUUGUAAACUUCUUUUAUAAGGGACGAAAAAAGGUCUUUCUAGAUCGUCUGACGGUACCUUAUGAAUAAGCACCGGCUAACUCCGUGCCAGCCGCCGCCGUAAGAC
rnacentral:rRNA from 1 species